GUUACGACAUAACAUAAUUUACAAUAAUUAUGAAAAUUACAUAAACAUGAAUUAAGUAGAAUCAACAUUAAAGUACAGGAACAUGGAAUGAUAUUUCUUUCCUGGAGAACAUUUUUUAAGGAGAUGCUGGGGAAUUUACAAAGAAAAAUAACUUGUAUUCUGGAAUACAGAAGUUUUAUUACAAAUAUACAUGGAAACUAAAUUGUAAUCCUUUUAUAACAAAAUAAUGAAAAUCCUUAUACUUUUUACAUCAUACAAUAUUUUACAUGAAAAUUUAUAACAGGUAUAUUGUGCAUAAUACUAUAGAUAGUUCUAUGAAUGGUUAUAUAAGGUAUAAAUACAAUCAAAAACAUUUUAUGCCAAUAAUAUUUAAAAAGAUAUAAAAGAUGCAAUUACAAUUUAUUUUAUUCCUGAAA